UUUAUUUCAAUAAUGCCUAAA
rnacentral:piRNA from 1 species